AUUGAACGCUGGCGGCAGGCCUAACACAUGCAAGUCGAGCGGAUGAAGGGAGCUUUCUCCUGGCUUCAGCGGCGGACGGGUGAGUAAUGCCUAGGAAUCUGCCUGGUCGUGGGGGAUAACGUCCGUACACGGGCGCUAAUACCGCAUCCGUCCUGAUGGAGAAAGUGGGGGAUCUUCGGACCUCACGCUAUCAGAUGAGCCUAGGUCGGAUUAGCUAGUUGGUUGGGUAAAGGCCUACCAAGGCGACGAUCCGUAACUGGUCUGAGAGGAUGAUCAGUCACACUGGAACUGAGACACGGUCCAGACUCCUACGGGAGGCAGCAGUAGGGAAUAUUGGACAAUGGGCGAAAGCCUGAUCCAGCCAUGCCGCGUGAGUGAAGAAGGUCUUCGGAUUGUAAAGCACUUUAAGUUGGGAGGAAGGGCAGUAAGUGAAUACCUUGAUGUUUUGACGGUACCAACAGAAUAAGCAACGGCUAACUACGUG
rnacentral:rRNA from 1 species